rnacentral:rRNA from 1 species
CGCUGUCACUCCUACGGGAGGCAGCAGUGGGGAAUAUUGCACAAUGGGCGCAAGCCUGAUGCAGCCAUGCCGCGUGUGUGAAGAAGGCCUUCGGGUUGUUAAAGCACUUUCAGUCGUGAGGAAGGUAGUGUAGUUAAUAGCUGCAUUAUUUGACGUUAGCGACAGAAGAAGCACCGGCUAACUCCGUGCCAGCAGCCGCGGUAAUACGGAGGGUGCGAGCGUUAAUCGGAAUUACUGGGCGUAAAGCGCAUGCAGGUGGUUUGUUAAGUCAGAUGUGAAAGCCCGGGGCUCAACCUCGGAAUAGCAUUUGAAACUGGCAGACUAGAGUACUGUAGAGGGGGUAGAAUUUCAGGUGUAGCGGUGAAAUGCGUAGAGAUCUGAAGGAAUACCGGUGGCGAAGGCGGCCCCCUGGACAGAUACUGACACUCAGAUGCGAAAGCGUGGGGAGCAAACAGGAUUAGAUACCCUGGUAG